UCCGUUUAGUCGAUAUAAAGCAGUUGUUCUCUGCGCCGGGCGAAGCAGUUAUGAAACUGACUUUAAUUGCAUCACACAUACUUAACAAAUAAUUAUUAAUUAAUAAUGAAUUUUUGUGUGGCAGCAUGGUGUGUGAUAUUCAACAUUUUGAUUGCAUUCUGUCAAUAUGGACUCACAAAAUUAGCUCCUGACUACAUCAUACCCUGCAAUGACACGAGCAGCGAAUGUCUCAUUAAAAGCACCCAAUAUGCUAUCCCCGAGUUCGUAAAUGGCAUUCCAAAUCUAAAUGUACCAGUACUGGACCCGUUUGUGAUAGAUAAACUAACGAUACCACUAAAUGGCCUCAAGGUGACAUUCUAUAAGGGAAAGGUCAGUGGUUUCAGGAAAUGUAUCGUCGACAAUGUUAUAUCAGAACUUGAGAAGCGUCACUUUGUUCUGCAAUUCCACUGUAACUUGACUAUUAAAGGACAAUACGAUGCAGUUGGGAGAAUACUACUCUUCCCAAUAAAUGGCGAAGGGGACGCUAAAGUUAAAUUGACAAAUCUUAGAAUGAAAGUGAAUAUAAAUACAAAGUAUACAAAGGACAAAGAAGGUCGGAAUCACUUUGGCUUAAGAAAUUAUAAGUAUACAUUCGAUUACGGUGACCGUGUCACGUUUGAUCUCCAGAACCUCUUCAAAGGAAGCAAGGAACUGAGUGAUACUGUUUUAAAGUUUCUCAACGACAAUUGGAAGUUGGUCGCCGAAGAAUUCGGAAAACCUAUAUUAGAUUACGCUGUAGACUUAGCGAUCAGAACUAUCGAGAGAUUCUUCAUCGCUGUACCUUAUGAAGAAUUAAUUAAUGUUCCUAUAACAUUUUGAAUUGAUCACAAAAUAAGUUUAUAUUAGACUAAUUGUUGAUACUUCAUGAACAACUAAAGAGUUAAUAGACAAUAUUGGCUUACUAUAAUUACUUCACCAAUAAAACAAUACGAGUAUUUCGACACUAAUAAAACAGAUUAUUUCUCUCAUUCUCAGACAUUCUCAGACGAAACUGGUUUAAAGUUAUACAAUGAAAAUUUAAAACCACUUGCUGAGGAAUUUGGAAAGCCUAUAGUAGAUUAUGUUAUAAAUUUUACUAACGCGUCGUAUGAACAAUUGAUUAAUGUUACCAAAAGGUUGUGAAUUUAUCACUAAACACAAAACUAGGUUUACACUGGUUAGGUUAGUUGUAAGUUAGAUUGUAAGAGUAACUGAAGACUUAAUAGACAAUGUCAGACUGUUUUAACGUUUCUCAACGAAAAUUGGAAACUAGUUGCUGAGGAAUUUGGAAAGCCUAUAGUAGAUUAUGCUGUAGAUUUAGUUAUAAAGAGUAUUGAGAAAUUCUUCAGUGCUGUACCGUAUGAGGAACUAA